rnacentral:rRNA from 1 species
AGCGAACGCUGGCGGCAGGCUUAACACAUGCGAGUCGAGCGGGCACUUUCGGGUGUCAGCGGCGGACGGGUGAGUAACGCGUGGGAACGUGCCCUCUGGUUCGGAAUAACUCAGGGAAACUUGAGCUAAUACCGGAUACGCCCUUUUGGGGAAAGGCUUGCUGCCGGAGGAUCGGCCCGCGUCUGAUUAGCUAGUUGGUGAGGUAACGGCUCACCAAGGCGACGAUCAGUGGCUGGUCUGAGAGGAUGAUCAGCCACACUGGGACUGAGACACGGCCCAGACUCCUACGGGAGGCAGCAGUGGGGAAUAUUGGACAAUGGGCGCAAGCCUGAUCCAGCCAUGCCGCGUGAGUGAUGAAGGCCUUAGGGUUGUAAAGCUCUUUUAUCCGGGACGAUAAUGACGGUACCGGAGGAAUAAGCCCCGGCUAACUUCGUG